rnacentral:rRNA from 1 species
AUCUGCCUAAAUAUGCUAAAGGCACCAAAUCACAUCUGAUCUUGGAAGCCAAGCAGAGUCAAUCCUGGUUAGUAAUUGGAUGGGACAUCAUGAAUGAAUACUAGGCUCGGUAGGAA